rnacentral:misc_RNA from 1 species
AGAUAAUAUCCUUCGUCGGUAUAAAAAUCGAAAAUGGAAGGCCAAGCGACAAUGCGGACGCUUUUAGCCGCCGGUGGAACCUAAGCUUAAGAUUCUUCUCCUCCAUUAAAUUGUACACGAAUAUCAGAAUAUUAAAUAAGAGAAUCUCGAUUCUCAAUCUGCCCUCUCAAAUUCCUCGAAUUUUCUCGACUCUCUGAAAAGUUGUCGGUCCGGUGGCGUUUCGCGGAAGCGAAGUUUCUCCGGAUCAAAUUCCAAUUAUCAUGUAAAAACAUUUUCCAUACUCUCUCUUCUCUGUUUUUAUUCUUUUUUGGAACUUUUUAGUUUCUCCCAGAUUUUGAAGCCGAAGAGUUCCCAAAGAAAGACAUGUUGUGUAGGAUGGUACUGCUGCCCCGGAAGAAGAAGACCGGUACGGUGCCGGUUUACUUGAAUGUCUAUGAUUUGACUCCCAUUAAUGGCUAUGCUUACUGGCUUGGCCUCGGGAUUUACCAUUCUGGUGUGCAAGUUCAUGGUGUGGAAUAUGGUUUUGGUGCACACGACCACCCAAGCACAGGUAUCUUUGAGGUUGAACCAAGGCAAUGCCCUGGUUUCACUUUCAGAAAAUCAAUAUUGAUUGGAAGAACCGAUCUUGGUCCCAAAGAAGUUCGUUCGUUCAUGGAGAAGCUAGCUCAAGACUAUUCUGGGAACAGUUACCAUCUUAUCACCAAGAACUGCAACCACUUCUGCAAUGAUGUGUGUAUCAAGUUGACUGGGAAAACAAUCCCUCGUUGGGUUAAUCGUCUUGCUCGUUUAGGUAAUACAUUAUUAAAGUUUGCUUUGAUCAUUGAAAAUUCAUUAUUUUGCUCUGUUUUAACUGUGCAAAAGCUGAUUACAAUGAAGUAUGAAAAGUUGAAGUAUUAAGCAUGUAGAAAAAGGUGUGUUGCAAUGGCAACUUUUACUUCAUUGCAGCUGCUGCUGCCUCUAUUCUUAGCACGGAUUCAUUAUGCCAUUGACCUGAAAUAUUUAUGCAGUCACCAGAUGGUGGCCAAAUGCUCCUGUUGUAGUACUGUUCCCUCUAAUCAACGGCUUCCAAGAAAUGGUUCUGUCAUCCGCACCCUCACUCGAAGUGGUGGUUUUUCCCUCUGGUGUCACAAUUUUAGUAGAGAUUUCUAGUUUGCCAGCCCCACAAUCUGCUUACCUCCUCUUUCAUUUUAUUAACUCUCAUUUCAUUUUUCCCUUUCUUCUUCUAUUGCAAGGGCAUCUGGUCCUUGGAUAAACUGAAUUAUGCUAAUUAGGAAUAGAAAAUGAAAGGGAUAUGCUAUUGGAUUGGGUUGCCAAUAGAGAGUAUAAUAUGGCUCAUCACAUUGAUUUGCUUAAUAUAAUAUACGUGUAAAUUUCAGUUUAUUGAGUGGUGUGUGGCUGUAUGCCCACAGAAGUAAUCCCAAAAAAUUAUGGGCCAUAUUCAACAAUUAGGGAGGAGUUUAAGACUUAUAACUGGACAUUAUUAGGAAACCUUUCAACAAUGCUUCAAGCAUUUAUUUAUUUAUUUAUUUUCCCCCUAUAAACCUGCUGUGGAAGUCCUUUUUCUCCUAACUAGUGAACUCGACAUGAUUUUGUUCUAUUCUUUGUUUUUAUGAAUUUAUAGGUUUUCUUUGCAACUGUGUUCUGCCUGCGGAAUUGAAUGAAACCAGAGUUCGUCAAGUUAAAUCACAAACUAACGGGCAAGAGGGAGAUAAGAAGAAAUUGAGAAGCCAUUCAAGUAGGUUAUUAUGUACUUCUUCUGCCCUACCUUCUCCUUCAUUGACACCCUGCUCCUCAGGUUCUGGUAGCAGAAGUAAUAGACAAAGAUGUCACCUUCCUCAGACACUAAUUCAUGACACUUCUACCUCAUCAUUAAGCUUGAAGCUUUAAUGGGAUCCAGUUUUUCAAACUUCUUUAGGCUGACAGAUUUUUCCUUUUUUUUUUUUUUUUUUUCUUUGCUUUCUUUUCUUGGUGGAGAUUUCUCGUUCUUGUUUUAGUUGGUGGGGUUGCUGCGGAAAGAUCCCAAAGCUUUGAUGGCUGCUGCUCUCAGUAUGUAUUGAUGGUAUGCUGCUGCUGCAAGUGCUCCAACGAAAGGACCAACCCAGAAAAUCCAAUGAUCAUCCCAGGCUUUGUCAUUGUUGUAGAUAACUGCAGCACCAAAGCUCCUAGCAGGAUUAAUACCAGUACCAGUGAUGGGGAUUGUUGCCAAGUGGACCAUGAACACAGCAAACCCAAUUGGAAGAGGAGCCAACACAGGGACGUGAGAGUCACGUGCACUCCUCUUAGGGUCAGUUGCAGAGAAAACAGUGUAGACAAGUACAAAAGUGCCGAUGAUCUCAGCACCCAAAGCAGUGCCUUUGUUGUAGCCAGGUGCCACUGUGUUUGCACCACCUCCGAGGCCAUUAUAUGGAUGCUUCAUAAAUGCCUUCACCAACCCAACACCACAGAUUGCACCCAAGCACUGAGCCACCAUGUAAGCCACUGCCCUAAUCAGUGACACCUUCCUCGCCAAGAAAAGUCCAAAAGUGACCGCUGGGUUAAUAUGACCACC